rnacentral:rRNA from 1 species
AUACAACUUUCAGCAACGGAUCUCUGCUCUCGCAUCGAUGAAGAACGCAGCGAAAUGCGAUAAGUAAUGUGAAUUGCAGAAUUCAGUGAAUCAUCGAAUCUUUGAACGCAUCUUGCGCUCCUUGGUAUUCCGAGGAGCAUGCCUGUUUGAGUGUCAUUAAAUUCUCAACUCUCCUAUACUUUGUUGUAAAGGAGAGCUUGGAUUGUGGA